CCAUUUUUUUCCAUUGUGAAUUCAUCCCUUCAAAAUCUCCCUUUCUUUCCCUUGUGAAGACAUCGUUGCCACUUCCACCAUCUUCACCGCCGUUCCCACGACCUGUGGCAUUCCCUGCCACACCCAAUGUCUUGUCCCGCCACUUGCACCAUCUUAAUGAGUGUUGUGCCUCCGUUCCCAGCUACUCGAGUCUGCUUCUGCAGGUUGCCAGGAUCUGCGUCUCGAUUGCUUCUCUAGUUACUAUCCCCUCUUGUGGCUAGAGAUCUGAGCCAAGAGUAGAGGAAUCUUGAUGGACUCCAAAUAGAAAAGAAAGAGAAGUUUAAGAAAAAAAAUUGAAAAUACUGCAGACAGUUGCUGCUUGCGGGCUGCGUGCGCGCUGCUGGGACUGAAAUAUAUAUUUUACGACCCAUUUGUCGUAAAGUACAACAUGAAUGGACUUGAGCAGACCAUGCACGUGUUGAUUAACAUGUUGGUCCAAUACAAGAUAAUGACGGAAAAGUCUGCAGCGUCGGUGUUGGUCGGGGAGGCUUCGAUCUCUAAAGCGAAAGGCAAAGGGGCCAAACAUUGGAAGAGAAAAAAUGAUAAGGCAAAAGCCGCUGCAAGCGCUUUGAGCUCCUGUUGCCCCUAUGGGGAUGGGAAAAGAUAAAGGGAAGGUGAGCUCCAAGUUAAUAAGGCCAAAUGAUGUCUGUAUGCAUUAUCGAGAAAAGGGCCAUUGGAAAAGGGAGUGCCCCAAGCUCCUCACCAGUGCAAGUACAAUUUUUAUUGAGGUUAACAUGAUAACUAACUUUGCUUCUUGGGUAUCGGAUACUGGCUAUGGAGUUCACAUCUGCAAUAAUUUGCAGGUGCUGGAAAGAAGCAGAUAAUUAAGUAAAGACAAGGUGGUCCUGAACGUGGCGAUGGAAAGGUGUUGUUGGUGAAGCUGUAGGGAUAGUCCACUUAGCUAUUAGUGAUCAAGUUAGGAUAUAGUUGAAAGAUUGCUAUUAUGUACCUAGCAUGAUCAAGAAUAUCAUUUCCAUUUGAUUUUUGGACAAUGUUGGUUUUGA